GGAAGCCGAGCUGUUGAGUCAGUGCUGCAGAGCUGCCUGCGAGAGCAGAGAGAGGCACAGCUGCAAAGGACAGAUCUGCUGAGCCACGGGAAAAUGGUUUGAGUAAUAAUCAACGCCUGCGGCUAUGUGGCCAGGAGGAUGAGGAGCCUGUGCAGCCGGGAGCCCCGGGAGCCACCACCCUGCCCGGCACAGGCAGCGCCACAGAGCCAGCACCGGGAUGUAAAACCAGAGCUACCAGCACCCCCUGAAGCACCAGCCUCACUCCCCAGCAACACCAAACCCAUCCAGUGCAGGUCCUGACAAUAAAUCCCUCAUGGUCCUCCCAUGAAGGCCACCAGAUUCCUUCCCACUGAUUUUUGCUGGAAAUCCUGUAUCCCAGAGAUUGGAAAAUAUCAGCAAAUCCCUGCUGGAUCUGCUCUCAGCACAGAAGCACAUUGAUAGAAAAUGUCCUGAUCAGUGUCUCAUGACCAGAAUUUUUUGGUUGGCAGGGAAAAAA